GACGAACGCUGGCGGCGUGCUUAACACAUGCAAGUCGAACGGAAAGGCCCUGCCUUUGUGGGGUGCUCGAGUUGCGAACGGGUGAGUAACACGUGAGUUACCUGUCCCUGCCUGUGGGAUAACUUCAUGAAACUUGGGCUAAUACCGGCUAGGAUCUCCUGCUUCUUGGUGGGGGUUGGAUAGUUUCGGCGGUUGGGGAUGGACUCGCCGCUUAUCAGCUUGUUGGUGGGGUAGUGGCUUACCAAGGCAAUGACGGGUAGCCGACCUGAGAGGAUAACCGGCCAAGUUGGGACUGGAAUACGGCACAGACUCGUACGGGAGGGAGAGGUGGAGAAGAGUGUACAAUAGGAGGGAGCCAAGUGCGGCAACGCCGCGUGGGGGAUGACAGCCUUCGGGUUGUGUUCCAAUGUCGCCUGUGACGAAACGUGAGUGACGGUAAUGGGUAAAGAAGCACCGGCUAACUACGUG
rnacentral:rRNA from 1 species